rnacentral:rRNA from 1 species
AUACGUAGGGGGCGAGCGUUAUCCGGAUUUAUUGGGCGUAAAGCGUGUGUAGGCGGUUUGUUAAGUUUAAGAUUAAAGCCCGAGGCUUAACCUCGGUUCGUCUUAAAAACUGGCAGACUUGAGUGCAGUAGAGGCAAGUGGAAUUUCUAGUGUAGCGGUUAAAUGCGUAGAUAUUAGAAGGAACACCAGUGGCGAAGGCGGCUUGCUGGACGACAACUGACGCUGAGGCGCGAAAGCGUGGGGAGCAAACAGGAUUAGAUACCCUGGUAGUCCACGCCCUAAACGAUGAAUACUAGGUGUGGGGGGACUGACCCCCUCCGUGCCGGAGUAAACACAAUAAGUAUUCCACCUGGGGAGUACGACCGCAAGGUUGAAACUCAAAGGAAUUGACGGGG